UCUUAAUGUUUGAUUUCUUAGAAAUUAGGUAAGGGAAAUAAAUGUUAACUCAUCGGUGAUUUUCCAUUUUAGUCGUGAACCCGAUCCAUCAUUCCUGGAGACAAUUCUUCAAACUCUUGGUUUGCAAAAAGUCCCCGAACCUGUGUGUCCAACGUCCUAUGGAGUUAUACUGGUUGUUGUCGGUUGGAUUGUCCUGCAAAUAAUUGUUGUAGUUUUCUACAGAAAGAAGAGUGUUGUGAAGGACACAAUGGUUCAGAAAGUACAAAAUUUCAUAUCUGAUAAUGUAUCCAUUGCAUCGCCAUUUGAUGCCAUUGGUGCCCCUGAAAAU